UAUCUAAAGUACCUGUAUAUUUCUAGGUGCUUGUAAUGAUAGGUAUAAUGGAUUUGUUUGUUUUGAGUGAAUUCACUCUUCCUGCUGAGCCUGCUUACGCUCAACUGCUCGGUCCUGUCACCUCUGUUCACAAGGCCUGCAAGAGAUCGCCAAAUAUGAAGAGACCUCCCAUCUUGCUUAAUCAUACCCUUCAGUGUGCUCAUUGUUACUGAGUGAUAUCUACACAUUGGUCAUCAUUUCUGAUCCUAUUUGAGCACUGCUGCAUGCCCAGGUCUCUUGGUGCUGUGCACAUAAAUCCUGGGCACACUGUAUGGUGGUAGAAUGACACUAAUUAUGCAUUCUAAGCUGAUUCGUCAUCUUUUUGACAGGACCUCUAAACAUUCAAAGUCAAAGGAUUCCAUCUACCUUGUCUCAUCCUCAUAGCAUGGAGGCCAAAGAGAUUACAGUUUGUUCUGGACUUAGCUGCAGAAGGGGUAUGUUCUUGUUGGGAACACUGGGAAGGAAGAAUAAGAGAGGGGGACUUGUUAUCUGUGAAUCAAGUAUGCAGUCACCUGGAGGCCUGGGUCUCUUCCAUGAAUUUCUGCACCAGGGAUUCUAUGAACUGCACGGCCAAGUGUAACUAUCAGGUUAAUGUCUAAAGAAAACAUGGAGCCUACCCACGGACCCAAGGGAAACUGGUGACAAAGCAAGUAUCUGCAAGGAAAAAAGAUAAUGAAGAUGCUGAAAUAAACAUCAUAUUUCAGAUGAGGCUGCUGAGACAUGGAUGUUGGAUGUCUGUUUUGUUGUACGGAAGUUGUACACAGGAGAAUGAGAAUGGUGCUAUAGUGAAGCUAUAGUGAAGCUACUCUGUGAAGCCAAGGUGACCUGAGCA